rnacentral:lncRNA from 1 species
GCCUAUUUUAAUUUAAAGCUGUCUUGUGGUUUCUCUGAAUUUUGCUGAGGCUGUCUGGUUGAGAUAUGGCUGAUAUGAAUGUGUUAUAUGUACACAUGAUAUUACUUUUAUAGCAUAUAGAGACAGAUGAGGCCACAGGAAAGAGUUUCAUUAGGUCAUUAUAGAGGUCUGAUCUAAAUCAAAUCAGGCCUGAAAUAGAUGUAGUUUCCAGGGAGAUUGUAGUCAAGACAAACCUGAUGUUUGAAAGCAUUGAUUAGCAAUGUUGUGUUCAUGGCAUUACCGCAGAAGGCUACAAAUGCUAAUGCCAAAAAGAUUUAAAAUUAGCAUGGAUUGAACAAAGACUAUCUGCGAGUGAUUUUAAAUAAGUAAUGCUCAGCAGAGUUAGUCAGUGAUUAGGAGAUGUCGCCAUUCAAAGAAAUGUCUAGACUAAAGUUUGUUGGUUUGCUUUAUUGUGGAGAUCUCCCAUGCUUGUUUUCUCUUUUUUCAGCUGCCUAUCCAAAUCAACACGCCACGCUGGAGCGUUAUGACAUAAUCGAACCACACCUGCUCAUUGGAGGACAGCAGAGACCGGUUAGUCUCAUAAAGUCAAUGGGUCAUCCUGGAUCACUGAAGGUGCUGAUUGAAGUGGAUGGAGAGCAACUGCUACUUGCUUUGCAGAAAAAUGAAGAGCUGUUUGCUAGUCACUACACAGAAACACACUACCUGGAGGAUGGAAGUGCUGUCACCACCUCACCGAAUGUCACGGUAAGAUCACAGCCAAGCACUAAGCUUCCAUCCAGAUUUAACCCUAUGCCUACAGAACACAUGGCAACAUGCACCUCCUGUAACAAACCCCUAAUAUUCUGCAGAAAACUAAUUGGUUCAUGUGCUCUGAGGGCCCGAAACAGGUGGAAAUGGUAAAAUAUAGGAUUUGUUACAAACCCUAACAAGCUAUCUAUGUAGGCAGUGUGUGUGUGUGUGUACAUGCAGGUAAAAGCAAGUGUAAGGUUAUAGUAAGUAUUUUCUAAGGUUUUAGUAAGUGUUUUAUUUUGAUUGUUGUUAUUUUAUAGUGUAAUGGAUUAUGUUACUAACCAAAAAAUUUUGUCAUAUAAUUUGGAAUCAGUAACAGAUUACAAUUUUCAAGUAAUCUACCUAGCUCUGUAUAUAUAGUGUGUGUUUGUGUGUGUGUGUGUGUGUGUGUGUGUGUGUGUGUGUGUGUGUGUGUGUGUGUGUGUGUGUGUGUGUGUGUGUGUGUGUGUGUGUGUUUGAGACACACCGCCUUCAGUGAUUUAAAGCAUAUAUUUUAAACUCAUGAUUGACGCAAAGCCCACAUUUCUGUCCCAUAUCAGCUCAUUUCAGGCCUUCUAUUUUACCUAAACCAAACCUGCAGUUACAAUCCCAUCUUAUCAUUGAUCUCCGCCCUCGGGGCGACUGCUGUCAAAAGCUUUAGAGAAGAGGUGGUCAAAUGAGGGCCACCAGGAGAGCAAAAAGCCACCCAUGAUGCAACUUUGCAUGUUUUAUGUGUUUAGGUUGCGGCUCAGAUUACUGGUCAGAGAAACAGACACAUUGAGGCCUGAAGGCUCCUCUGAGGAGCACCUCUGGUUCACUGACCCCGUCUUCCUCAAUCUGCUCUCCAGCAGACCGCCGGUUUCCCUCGCCAGACAAUUUGAGCCGGACACUUUAUGAAAAGAAAACACAUGCUAUCCGAAAUCCAGCAAAAGAAAAUAGGCAAGGCAAUUAUAUCAUUACUGUUGCUCAGGGUUAGGGUUUGUAAUUGAAACAAACAUUGAACCUUUUGUAUUGAGCUUUUGCUGGUAACUCCUGAAUCAUGUGUUUCACUUUAGGUUUCAAACUUAUGUAUUUUUUUUUUUUUUUGCUCAGAGCACACAGGCAACAGCAUAGCAACAGUCUAAAGCCACUCAAAACACUUUAAGAAAUAAAUAAAGACAAAAGAAAGCCAAUAUUCUCAUCAUGCUCCAGUUAUUCACUGACCCCGUCUUCCUCAAUCUGCUCUCCAGCAGACCGCCGGUUUCCCUCGCCAGACAAUUUGAGCCGGACACUUUAUGAAAAGAAAACACAUGCUAUCCGAAAUCCAGCAAAAGAAAAUAGGCAAGGCAAUUAUAUCAUUACUGUUGCUCAGGGUUAGGGUUUGUAAUUGAACAAACAUUGAACCUUUUGUAUUGAGCUUUUGCUGGUAACUCCUGAAUCAUGUGUUUCACUUUAGGUUUCAAACUUAUGAUUUUUUUUUUUUUUUUUUUUUUGCUCUAGAGCACACAGGCAACAGAAUCAUGUGUUUCACUUUAGGUUUCAAACUUAUGAUUUUUUUUUUUUUUUUUUUUGCUCAGAGCACACAGGCAACAGCAUAGCAACAGUCUAAAGCCACUCAAAACACUUUAAGAAAUAAAUAAAGACAAAAGAAAGCCAAUAUUCUCAUCAUGCUCCAGUUAGGGUCAGUUAAGCACUAGAUGUUUCACAACACCGGAGGGUGAGAUUUCAUAAAGCAUUGUGACUUCUUUCAGCUCAUUCAGCUAGUUUUUCCCAGCAGUCUCAGCAGUGUGAGGCAAUAUGCAUCCUUGUCGUUUGUUGGAUGGAAUGAGAGUUCAGGUCAUCCAGAAACAGCAGCAGUCCUCGACCUGGAUGUCAUCAGUGGGAGCAGUGCUGAGUUUGGGCUUCAGAAACUGAUUUGGGAUGUUGGAACACAGAAUAAGACAGAUGCUCUCUGUCAACCUGAGUGCAGAAAGGGAUGUUUCUCACACGCAUACAAAUUCCAGUUUUAUUGUGCAGGUUUUGGGGAUUGUUCGGAAAAGUUACAUUGCUCCUCUUGAUUAUUUGAUUUUCAUUAUUUCGUCAUUUUCAUUAUUAUUAUUUUUAUUUAGAAAUUGAUAGGUGAAGUCACAGUAUUCUGAACUGU